UAAAUGCCCAGCCAUGAGUUUCCAUAUUCAACUUUAGCCGUCUGUCUUAUUUAAAUUUUUUUGAAAAAUCUAAAAAAACAUUAGUACAUAUAAAGUACUAUUCAUGCUUUAUAUAAUAAUAAUAAUAAUAAUAAUAAUAAUAAUAAUAAUAAUAAUAAUAAUAAUAAUAAUAAUAAGUUUUAAAUAAGACGGAUGGUUAAAGUUGAAUAUGUAAACUCAUGGCUGAGAUUAUU
rfam:Oryza sativa (indica cultivar-group) chromosome 6, whole genome shotgun sequence.